UACGUAGGGGGCAAGCGUUGUCCGGAAUCAUUGGGCGUAAAGCGCGUGUAGGCGGCUGGGUAAGUCCGCUCUGAAAGCCCGGGGCUCAACCCCGGGAGGCGGGUGGAUACUGCUCAGCUCGAGUCCGGAAGAGGAGUGUGGAAUUCCUGGUGUAGCGGUGAAAUGCGCAGAUAUCAGGAGGAACACCUAUGGCGAAGGCAGCACUCUGGGACGGUACUGACGCUGAGACGCGAAAGCGUGGGGAGCGAACAGG
rnacentral:rRNA from 1 species